rnacentral:rRNA from 1 species
UACAGAGGGUGCAAGCGUUGUUCGGAAUUAUUGGGCGUAAAGGGCGCGUAGGCGGUGCGGUAAGUCUGCAGUGAAAUCUCUGGGCUCAACUCAGAGUCUGCUGUAGAAACUGCCGUGCUUGAGUGUGGGAGAGGUGAGUGGAAUUCCCGGUGUAGCGGUGAAAUGCGUAGAUAUCGGGAAGAACACCCGUGGCGAAGGCGGCUCACUGGCCCGAUACUGACGCUGAGGUGCGAAAGCGUGGGGAGCAAACAGG